UGUUUUUUAGGUCCUUAUUUACUCUUACUCAAGUACUUAUUUCUACGAGUACUGUUACUUCUACUUGAGUAACAUCAUUGUAAAGUAACUUUUACUUGAGGACUGUUUCGGUUGACUCUACCCACCUCUGGUCAUUUCUCAAGCAGCAGAUCACAGAUUGUUUGACGUCACGGACCUAGCUUGAUUGUUUCCAUGACUCACGUCGCUUCAGUCUCUGCCGUCCAAAGUAGUUAACUUACCAAGUCAAAGUUAGUUUAAACUUGAUUUUCUGUUUCUUUCUGAAGUUCUCAUUAAAAAUCACUUUAAAAGCCAUCUUCUGUUGUUGAACGGCAGACUAACGAGGCCGUUAGCAUUCUGCUAAUCAACGGUCGGCAGGUUUCAAACGGACCGGUCCAUGGAGCGGGUCAGCUUCAGCCCGUUAGCCUCCAAAGCAACGUAGGGAGGGGGGGUUAGAAAGACAUCCAUUAUAAAAACGGCCUUCUGACAGUUUACAGCUUGUUUUUAACUCUUUAUCUUAUUAAAGGUAAAACCAUUACAACAUCAUCAAAACAAUACCAACUCUGUGAGGCAGGUGGAGUGGCACCGACCGUCCUUACCCCCCCUCUCCUCUUCAGAUGGAUCCGUCCAUGAAGGGUCAGAGGUCAAGGGUGAAAUAAUAAAGUGAUAUCAGAACAGAGUGAGCAGAGAUGAAUGAAAACACAAUUAAACUGGAUCAUAAAGGACCAGAGGAAAGGGACUGCAAACGGACUACAGAGAGGUGUGAAUCUUCCGAUGUUUAUCACCAACAGGAAGACAUGUGGACCUGGAGCCAGAAGACUGAUGCAUUUUAUCAUCUCUUCAUGAACCUCUUCAUUGGACAGAGUCGUGUCAAACAGACCAGGAGUGUCGACCACAGUGACAGGACAACCGUUCACUUCACCUUCUGCUUUCUGACAGAAUUUAGUGACGGAUGUUUGGAAAGAUUUAGCUUUAAACUCCUUUCUUCCUAGAAUGGUGUUUCCUGAAGAACUCUUCCCACAGCCGGUCUUCCCGAUCAGCACAAUCCUGAGACCCUCUGAGCUCUGCUUCUCAUCAUCAUCUGUAAAACAUAAAAUCAAAGGUUUACCUUUAAA